rnacentral:rRNA from 1 species
UGGGGAAUAUUGGACAAUGGGCGCAAGCCUGAUCCAGCCAUGCCGCGUGAGUGAUGAAGGCCCUAGGGUUGUAAAGCUCUUUCACCGGUGAAGAUAAUGACGGUAACCGGAGAAGAAGCCCCGGCUAACUUCGUGCCAGCAGCCGCGGUAAUACGAAGGGGGCUAGCGUUGUUCGGAUUUACUGGGCGUAAAGCGCACGUAGGCGGACUUUUAAGUCAGGGGUGAAAUCCCGGGGCUCACCCCCGGAACUGCCUUUGAUACUGGAAGUCUUGAGUAUGGUAGAGGUGAGUGGAAUUCCGAGUGUAGAGGUGAAAUUCGUAGAUAUUCGGAGGAACACCAGUGGCGAAGGCGGCUCACUGGACCAUUACUGACGCUGAGGGGCGAAAGCGUGGGGAGCAAACAGG